UACAGAGGUCCCAAGCGUUGUUCGGAUUCAUUGGGCGUAAAGGGUGCGUAGGCGGCGCGGUAAGUCGGGUGUGAAAUCUCGGAGCUUAACUCCGAAACUGCAUUCGAUACUGCCGUGCUUGAGGACUGGAGAGGAGACUGGAAUUUACGGUGUAGCGGUGAAAUGCGUAGAUAUCUGGAGGAACACCGGUGGCGAAGGCGGCAUCCUGGACCAACACUGACGCUGAGUGAGCGAAAGCCAGGGGAGCAAACAGG
rnacentral:rRNA from 1 species